GAUAGAUAGUUUAUGACACCAUAAAAAGUACUGAGACCUCCUUCUUGCUCUCUUCCUUGGAUUGCCUGCUAUAGGAAAGCUGGCUGCCAUGUUGUAAGAGCAUUCAAGUAGACCUAUAGAGAGGUGUGGUAAGGAACUGAGGCCUCCAGUCAACAGCCAUCUUGUGAGUGAACCAUCUAGAAAACAGAUCAGCCAAGCCAAGUCCAGACAGCUCAAUGCAAUCUCAUGAAAGAUACCAAGGUGGAGCCCUGUGCUAAUGAGGAAAGCAGGGCGUCAGAAUACUGCUCUCCUCUGAUAGAAAGCACCCUGCUGAUCGCUGUACCUGGGCAGAGCCCAGCGCUGUGCACACAGAAACAUCCUGAUCUCACCGACCAGCUCUGCAAUGGCUUCUUUUUGUCCAGUAAUGAACAUGAGAGCAAAACUUAACAGCACUGUCCUAUGCAACUUUGUGUGAUGAUGGAGAUGUUCUUCUGCACUGUCUGUCAAGACAGUGGCCGCCAGUGCACGUGGAUACUAAGAACCUGAAAUAAGGCAAGUGCAAGAGGAACUGAAGCUUUUCUCUCCUUUAAUCCUAAUUAAUUUAAAUUUGCAUAGCCACAUGUGGCUAAUAGUUGUCACUCUGGGCAGGACAGUGGUAGAAAACAGGAACCAUUGCCCAUCGGCACACCAACUCAUCUUUAGAAAGAUUUUAUGAGUCUCAUUUCUCAUAUGAGCAUAUUUAAGGCUCACGGGGGUAAGUGACAUGCCCAUGAUCAAAAAGCUGGUAAAGGGCAGAGAAGAAUUUACACUUAACCUGCCAGACCCAGCCUCCACUCCUGCAAUGACGUCAAACUGCAUUCCUCCAUAUUCGUGUAAAAGCAGCCUCUAAGGCAAGUAUCAGCCUCUGAAAACUCCAAAUUCUCAGUAAAUAGCUAUGAAAGGAAGCUGGCCAUGUGUGGCAGGAUUCCUUCCAACAAAAACACAUGGGAAAAUAUUUCUCUCCAGCUAUGACUAUCUAUGUGAGUCUUUCAACUGCACAUUGCUGUAAGUAUAUCUGACAGCCCCCACUGUGCUCUAAAACUUCUGCUCCAAGCAAGCAGAAGCCCCAUGAAUUCGUGAGAAGGCAACAAUAUGAAAAUGAUUUUAUUAAACUUCCGCCACAUCCCGUUACGCUGUCUAAGCAUUAUACUCUCCUACUUACCCUUUGCUGACAAACUGGAUUAUACUUUCUUUCCUAAAGCAACAGGAUCUCACGAAACUGUGCAAAAGAUAAAGACACUACGAUUUCAAAAAAACUGAUUUGGACACAGAGUGUUAAAGACCCCACUAACAGACUCACUUAGCUAUUUCUGCAGAAGCCUGGACUCAAGGUCAACUGAUAUGGUUCCAGCCUAGGAACAAGCAAGGCCCGGCAUUCCUUACUCGAGAUUACAAGCCCAAGACCCCCUCCAGUUUAUACUGGCUCUCAGAGCAAGCCCAUAACCCCUCUCCUCAUCUGGAGAUAACCUCCUGACAUCAGGGGCUGAAUUCUGCCUCCUUCUGCAGUUAAGUCUCCACCUCAAGGGAACAUGGGGUAUAUGUUACAAUAAAUGUUUGCUCAAUGAA